CAUAUGUCCUCUGUUCAAUAAAUGCUACAGCUUUCACAGCAGUUCCGCCUUGGCUCUUUUGUGAGUCGUUUACAUUUCGAUGAAUGAGGUAGAGUAUGUGUGUUAUUUAAAUGGACAGUAUAUAAAUGUUUUUGGUCCUGGGGCAUUAUGGUUUGCAUCAAAUGGAAUAAUCAUUGCAAAUGUUUGGCACAAUAAUUAGCACAUGCUUGGCAACAUCUCAAACAUGAAGUCAAAGAAGUUUUUCAGUAGUGUUUUGGGUUCUGUAUAAAUGACAUCCUGUGAUAUGUUUGGAUGAGGAUGAAUAGCUGUUUCGCUUCGUGCUGAAUAUGAGAAGAAAGUAAAUUUAAAGCAAGGAAGAUGCGGAGGAAGUAUUAGGAAGAAAUACGUAAAAUUUUUAUUUUUAGAAAUGAAAAGGGACCUGAGGAUGACCCAGACAGAUUCAGAAGUUGUGUCAUUAGGACACUAAGGGACCCAAAGUGUGUGGCGCACCUCCUGUGACAUUGGCUGGUGAUGGACAGUUGAGGAUUUCCUAGGUCCUCUAAUCCUGGCCUUUUGUCCGAUGUCAGAUCCUAGACAGUAAACUUAAAGGGAUUUGUGGCAUCCUCAAAAAAAGUCCCAGCUUUCUAGACUGGCCUUAAUUUCAGCUUAGAUUCGUGGUUUUCAAGACCUAGCCUUAGAAUGCUUUUGUUCACAAACUAAAGCUCCUGCCAGCCCCAGGGUUCUGCAGGGGCCAGCAUUUUGGUAAGAAAAUGUAAUCUUGGAGCUCCCAUUGUGGCUCAGUGGGUUAGGAAUCCAACUAGUGCUUGUGAGGAUGUGGGUUUGAUCCCUGACCUCACUCUGUGGGUUAAGGAUCUGGCACUGGGCAAGCUGUGGCAUAGUUUGCAGAUGCAGCUUGGAGCUGCAAUGCCGAGGCUGUGGUGUAGGCCUGCGGCUGCAGCUCUGAUUCAAUCCCUAGCCUGGGAACUUCCAUAUGCGGCAGGUGCAGCCUUUAGAAGUACAACAAAACCAAACAAAAAAAGGUCAUCUUUCAGCUCUAAAAUCUCAUGCCUCACAUCUUCUGUGAUCUCUCAGGCAUAUUUAGAAAAGUCCAUAAUGUUGGUUGGCAGCACUAAAAUGCAUUUUUUAAAAAGGGGAAAUUUGAGCAUGCAGCUGAGAUCCCAAGUAAGGAACGUUUGACAAAGAAGAGGAUGGUUUGUGUCAUUAAUAAAAAUCACUUCACCUAAGGCAGCCUUUAAAAUCUGUCAACCGAAUCUGGGAAAUGAAUACCUUUUAGUCUCAUUCCAGGCCAUAUGCUGCUCCACUGAGGAUUUUUUAAUUCAAAAGAGAAAUCUUGAACAAUUUUAAGUGAAAAACUCACUCCUUCCCCACGCUAGAGUUACUCUGAGGACAGAGUCUGUGCAUAUAAUUAUGGACACUUUCUGGGCAGCUUUCUCUACUUUAUUAUAUCCAUGUACCAUUAACAGGAUGUCUGCAGAAUCUCAUCUGUCUCUUGCUUGAAUACUAAGCCCCAAUCGUGAAUUAUAUAUGCAUUUAGUGUGUGUUCUUUUACAUCUGUUGGGCUCCAUCAAUUUAACUUCAGGUUCAUUUUGGAACUAAGUCAGUCUACCUAAUAGUGUGGGCAAAAAUAGCUGUUUUGAGUGAAGAAUAUACAUUUAUUGUUCCCCUAAAUCCUGACCUAUAAAUCAGAAGCCCUGAUCCAACCCAGUCUUGGUUUUCCUGGUGAGUAGCUGUCUAAACACUUCCUCUACCUCUUCACUGCUCUUAGGUCUGUAAAAGAGUCCAGUGGGGACAGUGUUACCUAAACCUGCCCUGUGAAAAGUUUGGAAAACUGAAGGUAUCUGGGAAUAAUGUCAUGUCCUCUACAAGAGAGUCACAGAGCAAUAUGGUCUGGUUUUCACUACAACCUCCUGGGGCUGUGAACGUAUCUGGUUCGCCCCCUCGCCGGAUGUUGCCUGCUUAGUGCUUCCGUAGUUCUGGUGUAUUUCCUGGCACAUUGUAGGUGCUCAAUAAUAUUGUCGAAUGAAUGAAGAACCAAGGGAACUUUCCCACAUGCCUGAGGAUGCUGAAUCCUGAAGUUGUAUCACUUUUUCUACCAGGGUAUUUCCUGGUCUCAGAGACCUUGCAGGAAUUCGAUGGCUUUUGGGUUUCAAAGAAUAUGCCUUUCACUCUCAGACUCGGGAAACCAAAUUUCUCUUUAUCACAAGUUCACCUUGGGGUGUGAUUUUGUUUUUAUUAAGUCCUCUGGUGUCUCUGUUUUCUUUUGUAUAAAACUCUAAAUGCAAAUAUUUGAUAAAAUAAAAAUUUACAUGCUCAUUUAGGUUUUCUUUUACAGAAAUGUGUUAAAUAUUGUAAUUUGAUGGCAUCUGAAAGCACUAAAAUGGCACACUGUUUGAAUUAUGAUUUUAUUUUGGUUGUAUUUUCCUAACUUGAAGGGUGAGAGGGAUAAUUAAUUGUUCUUGCAAUUAAAACUAAUAAAAGAUCAAUCUAUUCUUGCAAUUAAAGCUAAUCAAACUAUGAUGAGUGUACUUAUCAUAUGUAUGCUAGUGUAUAGUGCUAGCAGACAAAAUACAAAGAUAUUUUGAUAGCCCAUUCUACACAAACAGUAACUUCCUUCUUUAGUUGCAUUUUGGACACACCACCUUCUAGAUAUGUGUAAUAUAAAUAUAUGACCCAUGAUUUUGUCCCUGGAUAUAAUUAUUUCUUCCCUAAAGAUUACUUUUAUAGCAAAGGCAAAAGAGAAAAAAAAAAAAAAAAG
rnacentral:lncRNA from 1 species